rnacentral:rRNA from 1 species
AGAGUUUGAUACUGGCUCAGAUUGAACGCUGGCGGCAGGCCUAACACAUGCAAGUCGAGCGGAUGAUGGGAGCUUGCUCCCGGAUUCAGCGGCGGACGGGUGAGUAAUGCCUAGGAAUCUGCCUGGUAGUGGGGGACAACGUUUCGAAAGGAACGCUAAUACCGCAUACGUCCUACGGGAGAAAGCAGGGGACCUUCGGGCCUUGCGCUAUCAGAUGAGCCUAGGUCGGAUUAGCUAGUUGGUGGGGUAAAGGCCUACCAAGGCGACGAUCCGUAACUGGUCUGAGAGGAUGAUCAGUCACACUGGAACUGAGACACGGUCCAGACUCCUACGGGAGGCAGCAGUGGGGAAUAUUGGACAAUGGGCGAAAGCCUGAUCCAGCCAUGCCGCGUGUGUGAAGAAGGUCUUCGGAUUGUAAAGCACUUUAAGUUGGGAGGAAGGGCAGUAAGUUAAUACCUUGCUGUUUUGACGUUACCAACAGAAUAAGCACCGGCUAACUUCGUGCCAGCAGCCGCGGUAAUACGAAGGGUGCAAGCGUUAAUCGGAAUUACUGGGCGUAAAGCGCGCGUAGGUGGUUUGGUAAGAUGGAUGUGAAAUCCCCGGGCUCAACCUGGGAACUGCAUCCAUAACUGCCUGAC